GCCCAGACUCCUACGGGAGGCAGCAGUGGGGAAUAUUGCGCAAUGGGCGAAAGCCUGACGCAGCGACGCCGCGUGAGGGAUGAAGGUCUUCGGAUCGUAAACCUCUGUCAGCAGGGAAGAACGGUCACUGUGCUAAUCAGCAGUGAAUUGGCGGUACCUGCAAAGGAAGCACCGGCUAACUCCGUGCCAGCAGCCGCGGUAAUACGGAGGGUGCGAGCGUUAAUCGGAAUUACUGGGCGUAAAGCGCUCGUAGGCGGUAUGUCAAGUCAAGGGUGUAAUCCCCGCGCUCAACGUGGGAACUGCCUUUGAAACUGGCAAACUGGAGUGUGUGAGAGGGCGGCGGAAUUCCUGGUGUAGGAGUGAAAUCCGUAGAUAUCAGGAGGAACAUCAGUGGCGAAGGCGGCCGCCUGGCACAAAACUGACGCUGAGGUGCGAAAGCGUGGGUAGCAAACAGGAUUAGAUACCCCCGUAAA
rnacentral:rRNA from 1 species